rnacentral:rRNA from 1 species
GUGGCAUUCAGGUCGGGCGUUGCCGUUCGGCGGGGCUGCGUCUUUAACGGGCGCUGCAAGUCCUCGUCCGCGGUGGCGUUUCGCACUGCACUUGUCGCCGGUAUACGCUGAGGCGGUCGGCUACCCCUUCCGGAGCUCGUUGCGUUGCCCACCGCGUGUGGUGUCUUGCUGCGGGCCGAGGUUGAUGUGGUGGCUGGCUGUCAGCGCGUUCCCGGCCUCUGCGCGUUGCGUCGUCGCCAGCGUGGUUCGUGGUGUCGGAGGCUUGCCUCCUGGCGCCGCUCGCCGCACUGGCGCUUCGUGAUGCCUUUUUGGGGACGUUCUCGGUGUCGAAAAGUCGACCACCUAUCCGACCCGUCUUGAAACACGGACCAAGAAGUCUAGUACGUGCGCGAGUCAUUGGGUGCACAAACUCAUAUGGCGCAAUGAAAGUAAAGGUUAGCGCUUGGCUGACUGAUAUGUGAUCCGUGGGCUUGCUCGCGGCGCAACAUAGCCCCAUGCUGAUUGCUUGCAAUGGUGUGGAGGUAGAGCGUACGCACUGGGACCCGAAAGAUGGCGAACUAUGCUUGAGCAGGACGAAGUCAGA